rnacentral:lncRNA from 1 species
AGAGAGGCCUGGACACGUCCCUUGAAUCUGUUCCCAGAGCAUGUUAGAAUCACAGGUUCAGAGGACGCCUUGCAUGGCCUUGCUCCAGCCUCCAGGCUCCCAAAGCUUCGGCCUGAAACAUUCCUCAGCCUUUCCUGGAAAACAAGUAGUGUGUGCACCUCUACUUGCUGUGAGUCAUGAGGGAGGAAAUGAGAGAAGGCAAGAGGAGACCACAGCAGGAUCAGGCAAAUUUUCCUUGCUCCUAUGGCUGUGAGACAGUGGCUUCCUGGCCAGACAUCAAUAGGUA